GCCAUGCCAGACGAACGACUCGGNCUAUNNNGAGAAGUGGCAAACUGCUCAGUAACACGUAGCUAACCUACCCUCGGGACAGGGAAAACCCCGGGAAACUGGGGUUAAUACCCGAUAGGCGUGGAUUCCUGGAAUGGUGUCACGCCGAAAAGUCAACACACCAUGUUUGUGUGCACGCCCGAGGAUGGGGCUGCGGCCGAUCAGGCAGUUGGUGAGGUAACGGCUCACCAAACCUUUGACCGGUACGGGCCGUGAGAGCGGUAGCCCGGAGAUGGACACUGAGACAAGGGUCCAGGACCUACGGGUCGCAGCCGGUACGAAACCUCCACAAUGCACGAAAGUGCGAUGGGGUUACCUCGAGUGCCCGCCUGAANAAGGUGGCUUUUCCAUUGUGUAAUGACCCGCGGGAAUAAGGGGGGGGCAAGACUGGUGUCACCCGCC
rnacentral:rRNA from 1 species